rnacentral:rRNA from 1 species
GUAACGGGGCUAAACCAUGCACCGAAGCUGCGGCAGCGAACGUAUCACCCAAGACAACUUUGCGGAGUUGACGAUUGACGGAGCGAAGCGACGUCAAAGCGUUAAUUAAAGUCGAGUUGGCUUAGGGAUACGUUCGUUGGGUAGGGGAGCGUUCUGUAAGCCGUUGAAGGUGGCCUGUGAGGGCUGCUGGAGGUAUCAGAAGUGCGAAUGCUGACAUAAGUAACGAUAAAGCGGGUGAAAAGCCCGCUCGCCGGAAGACCAAGGGUUCCUGUCCAACGUUAAUCGGGGCAGGGUAAGUCGACCCCUAAGGCGAGGCCGAAAGGCGUAGUCGAUGGGAAACAGGUUAAUAUUCCUGUACUUGGUGUUAUUGCGAAGGGGGGACGGAGAAGGCUAGACCGGCCGGGCGACGGUUGUCCCGGUUUAAGCGUGUAGGUGUGAUGACCUGGCAAAUCCGGUUAUCUUUAACACUGAGGCGUGAUGACGAGGCACUACGGUGCUGAAGUGGUUAAUGCCCUGCUUCCAGGAAAAGCCUCUAAGCUCCAGAUAACACUGAAUCGUACCCCAAACCGACACAGGUGGUCAGGUAGAGAAUACCAAGGCGCUUGAGAGAACUCGGGUGAAGGAACUAGGCAAAAUGGUGCCGUAACUUCGGGAGAAGGCACGCUGGCAUGUAGGUGAAGUCCCUCGCGGAUGGAGCCGAAGCCAGUCGAAGAUACCAGCUGGCUGCAACUGUUUAAUAAAAACACAGCACUCUGCAAACACGAAAGUGGACGUAUAGGGUGUGACGCCUGCCCGGUGCUGGAAGGUUAAUUGAUGGGGUCAGCCGCAAGGCGAAGCUCUUGAUCGAAGCCCCAGUAAACGGCGGCCGUAACUAUAACGGUCCUAAGGUAGCGAAAUUCCUUGUCGGGUAAGUUCCGACCUGCACGAAUGGCGUAAUGAUGGCCAGGCUGUCUCCACCCGAGACUCAGUGAAAUUGAACUCGCUGUGAAGAUGCAGUGUACCCGCGGCAAGACGGAAAGACCCCGUGAACCUUUACUAUAGCUUGACACUGAACAUUGAACCUUGAUGUGUAGGAUAGGUGGGAGGCUUUGAAGUGUGGACGCCAGUCUGCAUGGAGCCGACCUUGAAAUACCACCCUUUAAUGUUUGAUGUUCUAACCUGGUCCCGUGAUCCGGGAUAGGGACAGUGUCUGGUGGGUAGUUUGACUGGGGCGGUCUCCUCCCAAAGAGUAACGGAGGAGCACGAAGGUUAGCUAAUCCUGGUCGGACAUCAGGAGGUUAGUGCAAAGGCAUAAGCUAGCUUGACUGCGAGAGUGACGGCUCGAGCAGGUGCGAAAGCAGGUCUUAGUGAUCCGGUGGUUCUGAAUGGAAGGGCCAUCGCUCAACGGAUAAAAGGUACUCCGGGGAUAACAGGCUGAUACCGCCCAAGAGUUCAUAUCGACGGCGGUGUUUGGCACCUCGAUGUCGGCUCAUCACAUCCUGGGGCUGAAGUAGGUCCCAAGGGUAUGGCUGUUCGCCAUUUAAAGUGGUACGCGAGCUGGGUUUAGAACGUCGUGAGACAGUUCGGUCCCUAUCUGCCGUGGGCGUUGGAAGAUUGAGAGGGGCUGCUCCUAGUACGAGAGGACCGGAGUGGACGCACCGCUGGUGUUCGGGUUGUGAUGCCAAUUGCAUUGCCCGGUAGCUACGUGCGGAAAAGAUAAGCGCUGAAAGCAUCUAAGCGCGAAACUUGCCUCGAGAUGAGUCUUCCCUUGGACCUUGAGUCCACUGAAGGAACGUUUAAGACUAAGACGUUGAUAGGCUGGGUGUGUAAGCGUAGCGAUACGUUGAGCUAACCAGUACUAAUGAUCCGAGAGGCUUAACCUUACAACACCGAAGGUGUUUUAG